CGAUGACGCAUUUCCAUUUCAGUAUGGCCAUUGUGGAGGAGGACUUGAGAAUGGCAGUUUGGUUUUCGAAAAGUGACCGAGUAUUACAAAACUACUGUUGGGAACAAUGUGUAAAUAGAUCAGGAGUUCCCAACCUUCUUCCUUAAGGACAUCCUGCCUAAUGGAAUUCCAAAGGAAGAUUUUCCAUGCUGUUCGGUUUGAAAGAUGAACUUCAAAUCAUGUUAAAUGCCUUAAUGGUGAAAUUCAGAAUGAGGGGUGGUGGUCAAUUAGAAAAGAAGCCAUUCAAAGCUAUACUUUGUUAAGGCGGAUGGACACAGCAUGGGCUGCCAGAUGACCUUGUAACAAUGCGACACACACCCAGGUCUGAUCAACCUGCGGUGGGCCUCCCUUGGCUGAGGGUGUCUUGUGAUAAAGGGCCGAAACACCCAAUGAGGCUAAGGUGCACAAGUGACGAUGUGUCGAAUUGAUGGGAACCACACAAAGGGCAUUAUCAGCAGCACCUCACCAAAAGGCAUCCUUCACCCACACUGUCAGAAAAAAUUUGCCAAAUUUGUACCUUUAGGGGUACAAUGGCUUGUCACUGGGGAAGUACCCGCAAAGGUACACAUAUUGUACCUUUCCACAUGGAAACCCAGACAGCAAGCAACCAUUGAAUCAAUGUAAAAAAUAGCUGAUUUGUGAAUGUUAAUAGCAUUGAAUCAAUAUCACUUUUGCAUCUGCAAUUAAUGUUGAAACAAAUCACCAUUAUUGUGAUCAGUGUUUGCUUUAGUUGGGCUCUUGACUCUUGAGUUUAAUGUGAAGUUUUCUUUACUGUCUAACACAUAUGUUGUGGCAAAGAACCAUUAUUGUGAUCAGUGUGUAGCGGUUUUAGCUGCAUGUUAAAAUAAUGAUGAGCUAAGCUCACCAAAUAUGGUUCUCCACCAGAUCUAUCAAGAUCACAUCCAUGAAAUUAGUCAUUUAAAACAUCAAUUUCAGUUAAGGAAUUAGUCACGCUCACUGAGCGAGAGGAGAGAAAAUUCAUAAGAGAGCAGCGUAUAAUUGAAAGCGCACGUCCAGUUUUGUGCAUGAGCAAAGGAAAUCGGCGUGCAAGCGGAGAGAUUCGCGCGCUCGUAUUAUAAGAAUGCGCUCUCGCCUUGUAAUAAUGCGCUCGCGACAUUUGUCAUUAAAAUAACGCCAUACGCGUCACAUUUUAACAGAUGAGAGCAUUCAUACCGCACGCGUAAGCAGCGCGUGCUCGCGGAGCAAAGUAUGGAAAGUAUGGAAAGCCGUUUGGGUCAUAUUUCGCCAUCAACCAGACGCCUGGUGUUCAGAAGACGCCUGGUUUUACAGCGUUUAAGACUUACAGACGCCGUAAAGUAUGGCCGUUUUCGCCAUCGAAACGGCGUUAAUAACGGCGUUUUUAAGAGCAAUUUGAAACGCCGUUCAGACUUCCAUAGUACGCCGUGACCCAGCCAACAUUUUUUUGUGGGGCCAAUGUAGGCCCCAUAUGGACUUGAGGCAUGGGCCCCAAGUGGGUUUGUCCACGGGUUCCAUGUCGGCCCUACUGUAUGUGAAUUAGCCCAUAUGAAUCCUACGUAGAAUCUGAGUGGGGCCCAUGUGGGACCCCAGUGGGCAACAUGCAUAAGGCCCAUAUUGGUCCCACCUUAUAAAGCCCAUGUGGAUUACUCUCUGGUAACAUUACGCUGAGAACCCUCAAAGGCUUUUCAUUUAUAAUUAGCGCUACACGAACCAGAAAUAUAACGCAAACAAAGCAAAUGCAACAAAUCUGUGUUAUAUGAUGUACAUUGUCAGUAAAAAACAAGGUUCUUGAAGAACACAUUAACGUAUUUAAAAUGUAAUGAGAACUAGCAUUCUAGCACUACACAGGCUGCAGACAAUGAUAACGCGGGCUGCAUAAAUCUGGUCUCAGAACAGAUUACAAUUUAUGUCCUAACGUUACAUCGUUUCUGACAUCAGCCUUUUGAGCUUUACACGUCUGAGGAAUUAAAAAGAAUGGCAUUAAAUAUAGUAAAUUUGUGUCACUCGUCAUAGGCUGUGGUAAAGUCAAUUCAAUUUUACCUCAGGUGGAAAAAUGGCAGGUACACGCAGGCUUACAAAAUGCAAAGGAAAAUAACGGUCAAAACAGGGUUCCCGGUGCUUGAUAACACGGAUAUCAAAACCACGCUUAAGAAAAUAUGAAUUUUACCUUCUUAUUUUUUAUUUUUCCAGUCCCGACUCGACAAAGUUACUGCUUGGUGGAGUUGUAUUCUUCGCUCCUUUUGAAUUGUUUUAUUGGGUCAUGUUUUUAAAUGUCGGAACACUACCCUGUUGCUGACAACUGAUUAAAUGACAAGAAACGAUUAUUAACAAGCCAACCGGUGUAAGGCCUUAAUGCAUGUAACAGCUGCGAGCAGUCUGCUUACUGUACACUGUUGCAAGUAUGAUUUUAUUGAUUAAAAAUGAUUUCCCAUA